CUCCGCUUGAUUCUCAGAUAUGCGCUGAAAGUUACGAUUUUUCUUCAUCUUUAAUCUUCUUUUCUCACGGUAUAAAGGUUUGUCUGCGUUGUUGUUCAAUUCUGUGAUUUGAAGUCGCCGCCUUAAUGUUUCUUUUCAUGGUUUAAUCUUGAUCCGAGCCUUGAAGGUUCUUCUUUCAAGUCACCGCGUUUUACCUAUUCGAAGAUGUCAGGUUUACCGGCGCGGCGGGGAAGCAGCGCCUUGGACGAUUGGCGUCGAAGAAAAUAGGCGGAUUGUAUUUAUGGGUUUGUUGAAAUAUUGGAUGUAAAAGGAGAUAUCGGGGGAUUGAGACCCCCCGAUUGAUCUUUUGUCAUCUCAGACCUUUGCCAUGUCGGGUGCGCUCACAUGGCAGGUCGCAAACUUAAUAAAAAGAAACAAUUUUUUGGGUUUCCGAGGGGGAGAUCGCACGGGAUCUUUUUCGCCCGGGGUCUUCCCUCUCGGUGUUGUGUUGUGCUUGUGUUUCUUUACGGCUCAACUCACAAACGACAUCACAACACUACAACAUAAUCAUCUGCGAAACCAAAGGUUGUGGAUUUUAUCUGUUUUGGUGGAAAAAGACUUGAGAUUUUUCCAUCAAUUCAAUGACUUGAAGAAUCAUGGUGUCAGCAAAGCUGGAAAGGAGCAUACAACAUCAUAUUAACAGAGGUGGAGUUAUAUGACAUAUCCCAUGGUUUAUGUAUUUCUGGAUCUUCCAGACAUGAGAUUUUCAUGCAAAAUUUUUUGAUUAUGGUUAGUUGGUUGCUAUGGAUGCUGUUUUCAUUGUCUGGGGAUUUUGCAAAUAUUGUUCCUUUCAGAGUAAAUGCAAGCUUCUCUUAAUGUUACUGUCAAAGUUCCAAGCAAUCCAUCAUCCCCUCCUGUCACCUGAAAUGCAAGCAAGAAUGUGAAAAAGUUGCAAUGGCUUAUGGACAAUCACCAGCAGCAGUAGUAUUGUUUCAAUUACUUUUGUAAUUUGGUCAUUUACAGUUAAUUAUUACUCUGUAUAUUACUCUCACCACCAAUCACUCGUGGAUCAGUGAAGGUUUUAUUAGAAGUAUUUUAAUGGCAAA